rnacentral:rRNA from 1 species
AAACGGAUAGAGCCAGCGUAUCUGGCCUGCAUUCAACCACACGCGGAAAGCGCUCGUGCAGCUGGCGACUCCAGAUUGGGACAGUUGUGCAGGGCCAUGCUGGAUGCGAGUGGUGCAUUUGCAGGCCGAGUGCGCCGAGGCGCUCGGAGCAGCGGUGUGAGCCCGGUCUUGAGGCCAGCCUGGCUGGUACCCGGACACGGGGGAGUGUUGUUUGCUCUGGGUGAUAGGGUGCAUGGCUUACGGGCCCGGCURGGUGCCGAACUGUCAGCGGGCGGCGGUCGCAUGCGACACGUGCCUUUGCCAGCAGUUCGGUCCUGGUCGAGCUCACAUGCCCGCUCUCGGUGUAAGAGCUGGUCAUCUCUCCGACCCGUCUUGAAACACGGACCAAGGAGUUUAUCGUGUGCGCGAGUCAUUGGGCGUUGAAAACCCAAAGGCGCAAUGAAAGUGAAUGCCUCCGCAAGGAGCUGACGUGCGAUCCUGCACUCCGCGGAGUGUGGGCGCAGCAUGGCCCCAUCCURACUGCYUGCAGUGGGGUGGAGGAAGAGCGUGCGCGAUGAGACCCGAAAGAUGG